rnacentral:rRNA from 1 species
UACGAAGGGUGCUAGCGUUGUUCGGAAUGACUGGGCGUAAAGGGCGCGUAGGCGGCCAGAUGCGUCUGAUGUGAAAUCCCUGGGCUUAACCUAGGCACUGCAUUGGAUACGGUCUGGCUAGAGUCCGCAAGAGGAAGAUGGAAUUGUGCGUGUAGAGGUGAAAUUCGUAGAUAUGCACAAGAACACCGGUGGCGAAGGCGAUCUUCUGGAGCGGUACUGACGCUAAGGCGCGAAAGCGUGGGGAGCAAACAGGAUUAGAUACCCUGGUAGUCCACGCUGUAAACGUUGAAUGUUAGAUGUCGGGGAGUUUCCUCUUCGGUAUCGCAGCUAACGCAUUAAACAUUCCGCCUGGGGAGUACGGUCGCAAGAUUAAA